rnacentral:rRNA from 1 species
AUACGUAGGGUGCAAGCGUUAAUCGGAAUUACUGGGCGUAAAGCGUGCGCAGGCGGUUUUGUAAGACAGUGGUGAAAUCCCCGGGCUCAACCUGGGAACUGCCAUUGUGACUGCAAGGCUGGAGUGCGGCAGAGGGGGAUGGAAUUCCGCGUGUAGCAGUGAAAUGCGUAGAUAUGCGGAGGAACACCGAUGGCGAAGGCAAUCCCCUGGGCCUGCACUGACGCUCAUGCACGAAAGCGUGGGGAGCAAACAGGAUUAGAUACCCUGGUAGUCCGCGCCCUAAACGAUGUCAACUGGUUGUUGGGGAUUUAUUUUCUCAGUAACGAAGCUAACGCGUGAAGUUGACCGCCUGGGGAGUACGGCCGCAAGGUUAAAACUCAAAUGAAUUGGCGGGG